rnacentral:rRNA from 1 species
CAGGUUUACCUGUGUGACUGCGUACCUUUUGUAUAAUGGGUCAGCGACUUAUAUUCUGUAGCAAGGUUAACCGCAUAGGGGAGCCGCAGGGAAACCGAGUCUUAACCGGGCGUUAAGUUGCAGGGUAUAGACCCGAAACCCGGUGAUCUAGCCAUGGGCAGGUUGAAGGUUGGGUAACACUAACUGGAGGACCGAACCGACUAAUGUUGAAAAAUUAGCGGAUGACCUGUGGCUGGGGGUGAAAGGCCAAUCAAACCGGGAGAUAGCUGGUUCUCCCCGAAAGCUAUUUAGGUAGCGCCUCGUGAAUUCAUCUCCGGGGGUAGAGCACUGUUUCGGCUAGGGGGCCAUCCCGGCUUACCAACCCGAUGCAAACUGCGAAUACCGGAGAAUGUUAUCACGGGAGACACACGGCGGGUGCUAACGUCCGUCGUGAAGAGGGAAACAACCCAGACCGCCAGCUAAGGUCCCAAAGUCAUGGUUAAGUGGGAAACGAUGUGGGAAGGCCCAGACAGCCAGGAUGUUGGCUUAGAAGCAGCCAUCAUUUAAAGAAAGCGUAAUAGCUCACUGGUCGAGUCGGCCUGCGCGGAAGAUGUAACGGGGCUAAACCAUGCACCGAAGCUGCGGCAGCGACACUCAGGUGUUGUUGGGUAGGGGAGCGUUCUGUAAGCCUGUGAAGGUGGCCUGUGAGGGUUGCUGGAGGUAUCAGAAGUGCGAAUGCUGACAUAAGUAACGAUAAAGCGGGUGAAAAGCCCGCUCGCCGGAAGACCAAGGGUUCCUGUCCAACGUUAAUCGGGGCAGGGUGAGUCGACCCCUAAGGCGAGGCCGAAAGGCGUAGUCGAUGGGAAACGGGUUAAUAUUCCCGUACUUGGUGUUACUGCGAAGGGGGGACGGAGAAGGCUAUGUUGGCCGGGCGACGGUUGUCCCGGUUUAAGCGUGUAGGUGUGUGUUCCAGGUAAAUCCGGUUCACUUUAACACUGAGGCGUGACGACGAGGCACUACGGUGCUGAAGCAACAAAUGCCCUGCUUCCAGGAAAAGCCUCUAAGCAUCAGGUAACAUCAAAUCGUACCCCAAACCGACACAGGUGGUCAGGUAGAGAAUACCAAGGCGCUUGAGAGAACUCGGGUGAAGGAACUAGGCAAAAUGGUGCCGUAACUUCGGGAGAAGGCACGCUGACACGUAGGUGAAGUGAUUUACUCAUGGAGCUGAAGUCAGUCGAAGAUACCAGCUGGCUGCAACUGUUUAUUAAAAACACAGCACUGUGCAAACACGAAAGUGGACGUAUACGGUGUGACGCCUGCCCGGUGCCGGAAGGUUAAUUGAUGGGGUCAGCGCAAGCGAAGCUCCUGAUCGAAGCCCCGGUAAACGGCGGCCGUAACUAUAACGGUCCUAAGGUAGCGAAAUUCCUUGUCGGGUAAGUUCCGACCUGCACGAAUGGCGUAAUGAUGGCCAGGCUGUCUCCACCCGAGACUCAGUGAAAUUGAACUCGCUGUGAAGAUGCAGUGUACCCGCGGCAAGACGGAAAGACCCCGUGAACCUUUACUAUAGCUUGACACUGAACAUUGAGCCUUGAUGUGUAG